GCUGUGGCUCAGUGGUACAGCACUUGUCUAGCAUGUGUGAGGCACUGGGUUUGAUUCUCAGCACUGCA
rnacentral:tRNA from 1 species